GACUGGUAGCUUCAGUGGUAGAGUACUUACCUAACACACAUGAGGCCCUGGGUUCAAGUCCCAGCAUCA
rnacentral:tRNA from 1 species